UUAUGCUAAUACUUGUUAUGUUACGAAAAAAACGAAUUUCUAAAAUUUGGUCAUUCCACAUAAGAUUUUUUGACUGCAAAAAUUGGUUGGCAACCAAUAAUACUUCCAAGAGUAAGAUUAAUUGCAUAGUGGCAUAUUGAAAAUCUGUGAAUUCUUAACCUCCGUGCAUCGUUAUUUCAGUCUAAACAUAGACAGUAAGACGGUCGGAUAUUAUUUUGCAAGGUGCUACAAAAUUUAACGGUUUUCGGGUGACUUUGUCCCAGUUUGUUGAUUGUUGGAUUUUGGUCAUUGGUUGCUUCUAUAUUAAAUUAAAAUACUUCGUCUAAUUCUUCAUUUAGUGAGAGCUAUAGGGAUAAUGAAGAUCUACAUAAGCUUUCCAUUGGAGUUGGAGACUUCGUAAUCGUAUCUGACUACUUUGACAGCUUUCCAGGAAAAUUCGAUGGAUUUGUAAGAGGUAGUAAUAACUGUUACGGUUGGGUGCAAGUAAUGGUACUGGGUGAAAGAAGUUUAUGGCAAUGGCCCGAAGUCUCCAUAAGAAAAUCCUACCACUUGGCUAAUGUUGAUUUCACUGAGCCAUUGGAACUUGUAGAUAACCGAUAUUUCUUUCCAGAUUUAAAAAAAAGCUUGUAAAUCGUUUUAUUGUUCAUUUUUUGUUAAGAAAUGAUGUUUUUUGUUAACCUAGGGUCCUAUGUAAAGUUUCAUGUUAGUUUUAGUUUUUCUUUGUUUGAAAUUUAAAUAAAUUUUUUUCACCUAACAAAA